UACAGAGGUGGCAAGCGUUGUUCGGAAUUACUGGGCGUAAAGGGCGCGUAGGCGGUCUUGUAAGUCUCGUGUGAAGUCCCUCGGCUUAACUGAGGAACUGCACGGGAUACUGCUUGACUUGAGUUCGGGAGAGGGAAGCGGAAUUCCGGGUGUAGCGGUGAAAUGCGUAGAUAUCCGGAGGAACACCGGUGGCGAAGGCGGCUUCCUGGACCGACACUGACGCUGAGGCGCGAAAGCUAGGGGAGCAAACGGG
rnacentral:rRNA from 1 species